AUUUAUUUCAGUAUAUAUCAUAAUUAAUAGGGAAAUUCAACAGUUAAGAGUUAAACAAUUAUUUAACCUAACUACAUGUAAAAUAUUUAUACAAAAUGUCCAUAAAACACUUCACAUUAUACCCUGGAAGUUAAUCAAUAUCAACAAAUUUUGAUUACAUUUUGGAAAGCUUUUAUCACAACUCAUUGUUUGAAAUCCUUUAAACAUGCUGAAAUUUCUUGCCUGUUUACUUCAUUGAAUACGCCAUACAUCAAAUAUAGUUCACCAAUAGCUUAAAGUAUCUGAGAAACAGGCCUUACUAAAGUAAUAGAACUUUGACCAAUGAACCAUAAAAAUAAGGUCAAUGUCAGAUAAACACUGCUAUGUUUACCAUACAAACAAUAUUUCUUUCAGUUUGGAAUAACAGACAAAACCAUGAAAACUUAGAAUUGACCAAUUAACCAUAAACAUUAUGUCAAGAUCAGAUAGAAUUGACCAAUUAACCAUAAAAAUUAUGUCAAGAUCAGAUAGAAUUGACCAAUUAACCAUAAAAAUUAUGUCAAGAUCAGAUAGAAUUGACCAAUUAAAA
rnacentral:lncRNA from 1 species